GCCAGGCGCGACAGCACAGGCCUGGUCAUCCCAGCUACUCCAAAGGCUUAGGCAGGAGGACCACCCCAGUUCAGGAGUUCUGGGCUAUAGUGCGACAUGCAGAUCUAGCAUCUGCAUUAGGUUCAAUAUGAAUAUGGUGACUUCCUGGAAGUGGGGAACCACCAGGUUGCCUAAGGAAAGGUGAACUACCCAGGUAGGAAAUGGAACAGGUGCUGAUGACUAGCGGGAUCACACCUGUGAAUAGCCACUGCACUCCAGCCUGGGCAACAUAGUGAGACCCCAUUUCU
rnacentral:SRP_RNA from 1 species